ACUUUCCCGUAGAUAAUAUGAAACACUAAAUCGCUUCUUGGUGAAUAAAAAAAACGUGCUAUUGACAAGAUUAUGAUUUUUGUUCGAUUGUGCAUGCGUAGUAGGGUGACGUGGAAGUAAAAUAUUAACAACAGAAAAGAAAUUUGGGUAUAAACGGGCAAAGAGUUUUAACAUGUGCAUUAUUUAUUGUGUGAGCUUUGAUAAGUAUAGUUACUCAGUAAUAACAAUCGCCCAACAUAACAUAUCAAGAUGCUAUCUUCCCGAUUCUCUUCUAUUGCUGCAUUUAGUAUGCUUUGUCUUACAAUCGUAAUGAUCAGUGCUGACGAAGCUCCAGAAGUACCAAAAGAUCCUGUUGAAGCUACAGCUGAGCGAAUGGAAAGAAGAAAAGCAAUUAGUUCAAGGCAGUGACUCAUGCACGGAAUGCAUUUGCUUACACCUCUAGGCUAUGUUUAAUGCAAGCACUCUGGCACAACAAAAAACGCAUAGGAUCUUGGGAAGGUUUUAAAAAUGUCUGAAAGAAGAAAUUGAGAGGCAUAAAUCGUUUUGUUACACCGGCUAGUACGUUAUUUGUCAAAAUAUUAUAGUAAUGUUUCUUAGCGUUUAAUAAAAGUUUUGAUAUCAUAUAAAAAUCAA